UACGGGGGGAGCAAGCGUUGUUCGGAAUCACUGGGCGUAAAGGGAGUCUAGGCGGUUUGGUAAGUGGGAUGUGAAAUGCCCGGGCUCACCCCGGGACCUGCAUCCCAAACUGCUGAGCUUGAGUACAGGAGAGGGUGGGGGAAUUCCAGGUGUAGCGGUGAAAUGCGCAGAUAUCAGGAGGAACACCGGUGGCGAAGGCAGCCCCCUGGGCUAACACUGACGCUCAUGCACGAAAGCGUGGGGAGCAAACAGG
rnacentral:rRNA from 1 species